rnacentral:lncRNA from 10 species
UCAGUUUGGACAGUGCAAGGCCAGCAGUCCUGAAGAAAGAAGAGGCAAGAAGGAGGAGUGCAGACAAGGCACAGAGGAGAAGCCUCUGAGAGGGACAAAGCAGAAGAGAGAGACUGGGGCUAUGGAACACAAUGUUUUCAAUGUUAAGUGACAGGGGACUUUUUUUCUUCAACUUUUAUUAUAGGUUCGGGGUACAUGUGCAGGUUUGGUAUAUGGGCAUAUUGUGUAAUGCUGAGGUUU